rnacentral:rRNA from 1 species
UCAGGACGAACGCUGGCGGCGUGCUUAAUACAUGCAAGUCGAGCGGACCGACGGGAGCUUGCUCCCUUAGGUCAGCGGCGGACGGGUGAGUAACACGUGGGUAACCUGCCUGUAAGACUGGGAUAACUCCGGGAAACCGGGGCUAAUACCGGAUGCUUGAUUGAACCGCAUGGUUCAAUCAUAAAAGGUGGCUUUUAGCUACCACUUACAGAUGGACCCGCGGCGCAUUAGCUAGUUGGUGAGGUAACGGCUCACCAAGGCGACGAUGCGUAGCCGACCUGAGAGGGUGAUCGGCCACACUGGGACUGAGACACGGCCCAGACUCCUACGGGAGGCAGCAGUAGGGAAUCUUCCGCAAUGGACGAAAGUCUGACGGAGCAACGCCGCGUGAGUGAUGAAGGUUUUCGGAUCGUAAAACUCUGUUGUUAGGGAAGAACAAGUACCGUUCGAAUAGGGCGGUACCUUGACGGUACCUAACCAGAAAGCCACGGCUAACUACGUGCCAGCAGCCGCGGUAAUACGUAGGUGGCAAGCGUUGUCCGGAAUUAUUGGGCGUAAAGCGCGCGCAGGCGGUUUCUUAAGUCUGAUGUGAAAGCCCCCGGCUCAACCGGGGAGGGUCAUUGGAAACUGGGGAACUUGAGUGCAGAAGAGGAGAGUGGAAUUCCACGUGUAGCGGUGAAAUGCGUAGAGAUGUGGAGGAACACCAGUGGCGAAGGCGACUCUCUGGUCUGUAACUGACGCUGAGGCGCGAAAGCGUGGGGAGCGAACAGGAUUAGAUACCCUGGUAGUCCACGCCGUAAACGAUGAGUGCUAAGUGUUAGAGGGUUUCCGCCCUUUAGUGCUGCAGCAAACGCAUUAAGCACUCCGCCUGGGGAGUACGGUCGCAAGACUGAAACUCAAAGGAAUUGACGGGGGCCCGCACAAGCGGUGGAGCAUGUGGUUUAAUUCGAAGCAACGCGAAGAACCUUACCAGGUCUUGACAUCCUCUGACAACCCUAGAGAUAGGGCUUCCCCUUCGGGGGCAGAGUGACAGGUGGUGCAUGGUUGUCGUCAGCUCGUGUCGUGAGAUGUUGGGUUAAGUCCCGCAACGAGCGCAACCCUUGAUCUUAGUUGCCAGCAUUCAGUUGGGCACUCUAAGGUGACUGCCGGUGACAAACCGGAGGAAGGUGGGGAUGACGUCAAAUCAUCAUGCCCCUUAUGACCUGGGCUACACACGUGCUACAAUGGGCAGAACAAAGGGCAGCGAAGCCGCGAGGCUAAGCCAAUCCCACAAAUCUGUUCUCAGUUCGGAUCGCAGUCUGCAACUCGACUGCGUGAAGCUGGAAUCGCUAGUAAUCGCGGAUCAGCAUG